rnacentral:lncRNA from 1 species
UAAAAGUAAAGGGUUAAAAAUCGAUGUAUCCGGACAGCUUUACCUUGGAAGGCACAGCAGAGGCAACAGGGUGUAACGACAGCAGCCACCUGGGGCUGGUUGCGCCCUUGUCAGUGAGUCGUUGGGCAGGUGGGUGAGCGGAGGCACUGAGGAGAUAAAGGCAGGCUCUGCAGGCACGGCUGUUCCUGGCUUGCGGUCUCUGGGCUGUUGUAGGAGGUGGAGAAAGGCUCCUGUGAUGGGAAGACCCAGCACUGGUGCUGUGCCGGCACUGUGGGCUCAUCUUGCAGCACAAAAGCUUACCAUAGAUCGUGCUACUGCAGGUCCCUUGCUGCUCCUGCUGGCUGGCUCUCAGGAGCUGGGGUGCCUUACCUACUUCUUUGUCCUGGUGCUGCUACAGUUUUCCAUCCUGUUCCUUCAAGGACUGGAUUUGGGAGGCUGGACUCUGCUUUUGAAUCAUGCCGGCAGCUGGGGGACCAGCGGCUUCGCUGUGCAAGGCCUGCAGGCUGCCCGGAGGGGAAGGCUGCCGGCCCCAGCCGGUGUGCAGCACACGCUUGUUCCCAGAGCUGUGCCCCCCUCUGCCACCCCCAGCUCAGGACCGACGGUGCUGCCUUGCCCUGACGAAUGUACCAGGUGCAACUAACAUCCAUUACGGGGUCUUGAGCCAACACCCUUGUUUGUCCCUGCUUUCUCCUGCUGCCCGCUCUACAGCUGGUACGAAUUGACUCAAUCCAUCACAAUUACGAAGACACUUGAACUAAAUAACUUCGUAAAGAUCCGCAGGGAAAACUCAUUGGUUGAAGACCUUAGAAAUGGAUUUUACUUAUGCUGGCCAGAGAAUCGCAGAAGAGGUGAGCAGGGCCGUGCCCAGCCCUGCAGUGUGCGCCGCCAGCUCCCUGCCUGCCGCAGAGCAGCCACCCACCAGCACUGCUAAAACCUACAGGUGCUUGCAUCGGGUCAUUAAAUAGCACGGGGAUGGGCAUAUAGGAGCGUAGAUGGGCAUAUAGGAACAUAGAGGGGUGGCCGACCCCUCCGUUGCUGACAACAGACGGCCAGGAGGGAGUUGAUGUUUUAAGGGAGGUUGGUGGUGGUGUCUCU